rnacentral:rRNA from 1 species
CCGACGGUGAGAGAUGAAAGCUGGGGGAGCAAACCGGAUUAGAUACCCGGGUAGUCCCAGCCGUAAACGAUGUGCGUUAGGUGUAUCGGUGACCACGAGUCACCGAGGUGCCGAAGAGAAAUCGUGAAACGUACCGCCUGGGAAGUACGGUCGCAAGGCUGAAACUUAAAGGAAUUGGCGGGGGAGCACCACAACAGGUGGAGCCUGCGGUUUAAUCGGACUCAACGCCGGGAAACUCACCAGAUAAGACAGCUGAAUGAUAGUCGGGCUGAAGACUCUACUUGACUAGCUGAGAGGAGGUGCAUGGCCGUCGUCAGUUCGUACUGUGAAGCAUCCUGUUAAGUC